AUUGAACGCUGGCGGCAGGCCUAACGCAUGCAAGUCGAGCGGAUGAAGGGAGCUUGCUCCUGGAUUCAGCGGCGGACGGGUGAGUAAUGCCUAGGAAUCUGCCUGGUAGUGGGGGAUAACGUCCGGAAACGGGCGCUAAUACCGCAUACGUCCUGAGGGGGAAAGUGGGGGAUCUUCGGACCUCACGCUAUCAGAUGAGCCUAGGUCGGAUUAGCUAGUUGGUGGGGUAAAGGCCUACCAAGGCGACGAUCCGUAACUGGUCUGAGAGGAUGAUCAGUCACACUGGAACUGAGACACGGUCCAGACUCCUACGGGAGGCAGCAGUGGGGAAUAUUGGACAAUGGGCGAAAGCCUGAUCCAGCCAUGCCGCGUGUGUGAAGAAGGUCUUCGGAUUGUAAAGCACUUUAAGUUGGGAGGAAGGGCAGUAAGUUAAUACCUUGCUGUUUUGACGUUACCAACAGAAUAAGCACCGGCUAACUUCGUG
rnacentral:rRNA from 1 species